rnacentral:rRNA from 1 species
UACGGAGGAUCCAAGCGUUAUCCGGAUUUAUUGGGUCUAAAGGGUGCGUAGGCGGCCUGUUAAGUCAGGGGUGAAAGACGGUAGCUCAACUAUCGCAGUGCCCUUGAUACUGAUGGGCUUGAAUGGACUAGAGGUAGGCGGAAUGUGACAAGUGGCGGUGAAAUGCAUAGAUAUGUCACAGAACACCGAUUGCGAAGGCAGCUUACUAUGGUCCUAUUGACGCUGAGGCACGAAAGCGUGGGGAUCAAACAGG